CGGUUGAUCCUGCCGGAGGCUACUGCUAUCGGGGUUCGAUUAAGCCAUGCGAGUUAAAUGUUCUUCGUGAACAUAGCGAACUGCUCAGUAACACGUGGAUAACCUACCCUUAGGACCGGAAUAACCCCGGGAAACUGGGGAUAAUACCGGAUAAGCCAUAGACGCUGGAAUGCCCUAUGGUUCAAAGCUCCGGCGCCUAAGGAUGGAUCUGCGGUCUAUCAGGUUGUAGUGGGUGUAACGUACCUACUAGCCGACGACGGAUACGGGUUGUGAGAGCAAGAGCCCGGAGAUGGAUUCUGAGACACGAAUCCAGGCCCUACGGGGUGCAGCAGGCGCGAACACUUUACAAUGCGCGAAAGCGCGAUAAGGGAACCCCGAGUGCCAGCAUCAAAUGCUGGCUGUCCUGAUGACUAAACCUCAUUUGAUAGCAAGGGCCGGGCAAGACCGGUGCCAGCCGCCGCGGUAACACCGGCGGCCCGAGUGGUAGCCGCUUUUAUUGGGUCUAAAGGGUCCGUAGCCGGCCUGAUAAGUCCUUUGGGAAAUCUGGCAGCUUAACUGUCAGGCUUCUAAGGGAUACUGUCAGGCUUGGGACCGGAAGAGGUAAGGGGUACUCCAGGGGUAGGAGUGAAAUCUUGUAAUCCCUGGGGGACCAUCUGUGGCGAAGGCGCCUUACCAGAACGGGUCCGACGGUGAGGGACGAAAGCUAGGGGAGCAAACCGGAUUAGAUACCCGGGUAGUCCUAGCUGUAAACGAUGCUCGCUAGGUGUCAGACACGGUGCGACCGUGUUUGGUGCCGCAGGGAAGCCGUUAAGCGAGCCACCUGGGAAGUACGGUCGCAAGGCUGAAACUUAAAGGAAUUGGCGGGGGAGCAC
rnacentral:rRNA from 1 species